UAUCGGAUUGAUACCAAGCCAUGCGAGUCAUUGCAGUAAUGCAAGGCAGACGGCUCAGUAACGCGUAGUCAACCUACCCUAUGGACGGGAAUAACCUCGGGAAACUGAGUAUAAUGCCCGAUAGAACACUAUUCCUGGAAUGGUUUGUGUUCCAAAUGAUUUAUCGCCGUAGGAUGGGACUGCGGCCUAUCAGUUUGUUGGUGAGGUAAUGGCCCACCAAGACUAUUACAGGUACGGGCUCUGAGAGGAGUAGCCCGGAGAUGGGUACUGAGACACGGACCCAGGCCCUAUGGGGCGCAGCAGGCGAGAAAACUUUGCAAUGUGCGAAAGCACGACAAGGUUAAUCCGAGUGGUUUGUGCUAAACGAACCUUUUGACAGUCCUAGAAACACUGUUGAAUAAGGGGUGGGCAAGUUCUGGUGUCAGCCGCCGCGGUAAAACCAGCACCUCAAGUGGUCAGGAUGAUUAUUGGGCCUAAAGCAUCCGUAGCCGGCUCUGUAAGUUUUCGGUUAAAUCUGUACGCUCAACGUACAGGCUGCCGGGAAUACUGCAGAGCUAGGGAGUGGGAGAGGUAGACGGUACUCGGUAGGAAGGGGUAAAAUCCUUUGAUCUAUUGAUGACCACCUGUGGCGAAGGCGGUCUACCGGAACACGUCCGACGGUGAGGGAUGAAAGCUGGGGGAGCAAACCGGAUUAGAUACCCGGGUAGUCCCAGCUGUAAACUAUGCAAACUCAGUGAUGCAUUGGCUUGUGGCCAAUGCAGUGCUGCAGGGAAGCCGUUAAGUUUGCCGCCUGGGAAGUACGUACGCAAGUAUGAAACUUAAAGGAAUUGGCGGGGGAGCACCACAAGGGGUGAAGCCUGCGGUUCAAUUGGAUUC
rnacentral:rRNA from 1 species